UACGUAGGGGGCAAGCGUUGUCCGGAAUCAUUGGGCGUAAAGCGCGUGUAGGCGGUUCAGUAAGUCCGCUGUGAAAGUCGGGGGCUCAACCCUCGAAUGCCGGUGGAUACUGUCGGGCUAGAGUGCGGAAGAGGCGAGUGGAAUUCCUGGUGUAGCGGUGAAAUGCGCAGAUAUCAGGAGGAACACCUAUUGCGAAGGCAGCUCGCUGGGACGUAACUGACGCUGAGACGCGAAAGCGUGGGGAGCAAACAGG
rnacentral:rRNA from 1 species